GUUUGAGCAAAAAACACCAAGCCAUUUUAUGCACACGUGGGUAAGGCUGUCAGGCAUUCCUUCAAGCAAUUGCAGAAAAAUGAGGCGUGGGGAAAAUGCAAUCAAUGCUUAAGAGGUGGAGUAAACUCUCUCUUUGUUAGGUCCUGUUCCCUGUUUUGCUGCUUUGUUCUUGUGCUAUGUCUGGUGUGUAAUCACGUAACUCCCAUUGUUUACAAAGCUUUAUUCCAAAUGUCCAAUAUUGUAAAGUUGUAUAUUCUUUUCCCUUUCUCUUUUUAAAGUCACUGAAGAUUUGCAGUACGCUCAUUGGAAUCAUAAUGGCAUGACCUGUUUGUUGUACAGUACAGAAGCUGUUGCAUUUGAGCAAAUCCUCCCUUGCUGCAGUCACCCAGGGAGGACCUGCCUAAGUUGUCACUCAGCAGUGCUGUAUGGAGCCAAGGAUGUUUCAGUUUUUCAGUUUCUUGAACGAUUCUGCCAGCAAGAAGGGCCGAGGGGACACAAGGAACCAGGAGGGGACAGAACCAAAACAGCUGACCUAACCUGGCCAAAUAGUAGGUUGUCAUGUACCCAGAGCCCUGUUGCUGUAAACAUCCAUCUAAGAGAGACAAUGGAUCACGGUGUGGCCCCUGUUCACAACACAGCUGCCUAUGUGGAGAAACCAGACUGCUUAGUAAGGAGGAAAGAAAAGGCUUGUGCAUAUUUCUGUUUCAACAAUCUAAACUUCAGAAGCUGAGAUGCACACAGGCUCAGAAACCAGAAGUCUCUUCUCGGUCAGGUCUUUGCAGGAUGGCCGAUUUGAUGGAUGUAUGAAACCAAUUAUGCUGGAGAUGACCAGAAGGAAUUCACGAUUUUCCACGUGUGUAACUGUUUUUUUGCUUCAGGAAAUCAUGUAUUUGCCAUACAUGAUUAAUGAUACUGUAAGCAAAUGUAUAAAUGCUGUCAUUUUUAAAAUUGUUGAGUUGCAGUGACAUGAUAGACUUUCAUAGUCCACCAAAAAAAGAAGUAAUAAAGUGUUUACAUUCAGCUGCUCACCUAGACACACAGAUCAGACAUUUUAUUGUGCUAUAUAAAUUUUUUUAAAGUGUUGGCCUUGUAAAGUAUUUUGUAUUUGACUGGGCCCAGGAAAUAAAGCUUGUGCCAAAAGAAAAAUCUAAACAAGAUGACCUGUGAAUAUUCGGGACACCCUAAGGACCUUAGCACAAUGUUACUGCAAUAAACAGUUAUGAGUAAUAUAUAGAUAUUUUU
ensembl:lncRNA